UUGAACGCUGGCGGCAGGCCUAACACAUGCAAGUCGAACGGUAACAGGAAACAGCUUGCUGUUUCGCUGACGAGUGGCGGACGGGUGAGUAAUGUCUGGGAAACUGCCUGAUGGAGGGGGAUAACUACUGGAAACGGUAGCUAAUACCGCAUAAUGUCGCAAGACCAAAGAGGGGGACCUUCGGGCCUCUUGCCAUCGGAUGUGCCCAGAUGGGAUUAGCUAGUAGGUGGGGUAACGGCUCACCUAGGCGACGAUCCCUAGCUGGUCUGAGAGGAUGACCAGCCACACUGGAACUGAGACACGGUCCAGACUCCUACGGGAGGCAGCAGUGGGGAAUAUUGCACAAUGGGCGCAAGCCUGAUGCAGCCAUGCCGCGUGUAUGAAGAAGGCCUUCGGGUUGUAAAGUACUUUCAGCGGGGAGGAAGGGAGUAAAGUUAAUACCUUUGCUCAUUGACGUUACCCGCAGAAGAAGCACCGGCUAACUCCGUGCCAGCGGCCGCGGUAAUACGGAGGGUGCAAGCGUUAAUCGGAAUUACUGGGCGUAAAGCGCACGCAGGCGGUUUGUUAAGUCAGAUGUGAAAUCCCCGGGCUCAACCUGGGAACUGCAUCUGAUACUGGCAAGCUUGAGUCUCGUAGAGGGGGGUAGAAUUCCAGGUGUAGCGGUGAAAUGCGUAGAGAUCUGGAGGAAUACCGGUGGCGAAGGCGGCCCCCUGGACGAAGACUGACGCUCAGGUGCGAAAGCGUGGGGAGCAAACAGGAUUAGAUACCCUGGUAGUCCACGCCGUAAACGAUGUCGACUUGGAGGUUGUGCCCUUGAGGCGUGGCUUCCGGAGCUAACGCGUUAAGUCGACCGCCUGGGGAGUACGGCCGCAAGGUUAAAACUCAAAUGAAUUGACGGGGGCCCGCACAAGCGGUGGAGCAUGUGGUUUAAUUCGAUGCAACGCGAAGAACCUUACCUGGUCUUGACAUCCACAGAACUUUCCAGAGAUGGAUUGGUGCCUUCGGGAACUGUGAGACAGGUGCUGCAUGGCUGUCGUCAGCUCGUGUUGUGAAAUGUUGGGUUAAGUCCCGCAACGAGCGCAACCCUUAUCCUUUGUUGCCAGCGGUCCGGCCGGGAACUCAAAGGAGACUGCCAGUGAUAAACUGGAGGAAGGUGGGGAUGACGUCAAGUCAUCAUGGCCCUUACGACCAGGGCUACACACGUGCUACAAUGGCGCAUACAAAGAGAAGCGACCUCGCGAGAGCAAGCGGACCUCAUAAAGUGCGUCGUAGUCCGGAUUGGAGUCUGCAACUCGACUCCAUGAAGUCGGAAUCGCUAGUAAUCGUGGAUCAGAAUGCCACGGUGAAUACGUUCCCGGGCCUUGUACACACCGCCCGUCACACCAUGGGAGUGGGUUGCAAAAGAAGUAGGUAGCUUAACCUUCGGGAGGGCGCUUACCACUUUGUGAUUCAUGACUGGGGUG
rnacentral:rRNA from 1 species